rnacentral:rRNA from 1 species
GAUGAACGCUGGCGGCGUGCCUAAUACAUGCAAGUCGAGCGAACAGACGAGGAGCUUGCUCCUCUGACGUUAGCGGCGGACGGGUGAGUAACACGUGGAUAACCUACCUAUAAGACUGGGAUAAAUUCGGGAAACCGGAGCUAAUACCGGAUAAUAUAUUGAACCGCAUGGUUCAAUAGUGAAAGACGGUUUUGCUGGCACUUAUAGAUGGAUCCGCGCCGCAUUAGCUAGUUGGUAAGGUAACGGCUUACCAAGGCAACGAUGCGUAGCCGACCUGAGAGGGUGAUCGGCCACACUGGAACUGAGACACGGUCCAGACUCCUACGGGAGGCAGCAGUAGGGAAUCUUCCGCAAUGGGCGAAAGCCUGACGGAGCAACGCCGCGUGAGUGAUGAAGGUCUUCGGAUCGUAAAACUCUGUUAUUAGGGAAGAACAAAUGUGUAAGUAACUAUGCACGUCUUGACGGUACCUAAUCAGAAAGCCACGGCUAACUACGUG